GAUGAACGCUGGCGGCGUGCCUAAUACAUGCAAGUCGAGCGAACGGACGCGACGCUUGCUUUUCUGAUGUUAGCGGCGGACGGGUGAGUAACACGUGGAUAACCUACCUAUCAGACUGGGAUAACUUCGGGAAACCGGCUCUAAUACCGUAUAAUAUUUUGCACCGCAUUGUUCAAUAGUGAAAUACGGUCUUGCUGUCACUUAUAGAUGGAUCCGCGCUGCAUUAGCUAGUUGGUAAGGUAACGGCUUACCAAGGCAACGAUGCAUAGCCGACCGGAGAGGGUGAUCGGCCACACUGGAAGUGAGACACGGUCAAGACGCCUAAGGGAGGCAGCAGUAGGGAAUCUUACGCAAAGGGCGAAAGCAUGACGGAGCAAGGCCGCGUGAGUGAUGAAGGUCUUCGGAGCGUAAAAAUCUGUUAUUAGGGAAGAACAGAUGUGGAAGUAACUGUGCACAGCGUGACGGUAACUAAUCAGAAAGCCACGGCUAACUACGUG
rnacentral:rRNA from 1 species